UACGUAGGGGGCUAGCGUUGUCCGGAAUCAUUGGGCGUAAAGCGCGUGUAGGCGGUCCGGUAAGUCCGCUGUGAAAGUCGAGGGCUCAACCCUCGAAUGCCGGUGGAAACUGUCGGGCUAGAGUGCGGAAGAGGCGAGUGGAAUUCCUGGUGUAGCGGUGAAAUGCGCAGAUAUCAGGAGGAACACCGAUGGCGAAGGCAGGUCUCUGGGCCGAUACUGACGCUGAGGAGCGAAAGCGUGGGGAGCGAACAGG
rnacentral:rRNA from 1 species